rnacentral:rRNA from 1 species
AUUGAACGCUGGCGGAAUGCUUUACACAUGCAAGUCGAACGGCAGCACGGACUUCGGUCUGGUGGCGAGUGGCGAACGGGUGAGUAAUGUAUCGGAGCGUGCCCAGUCGUGGGGGAUAACGUAGUGAAAAUUACGCUAAUACCGCAUACGAUCUAUGGAUGAAAGCGGGGGAUCGCAAGACCUCGCGCGAUUGGAGCGGCCGAUAUCAGAUUAGGUAGUUGGUGGGGUAAAGGCCCACCAAGCCAACGAUCUGUAGCUGGGCUGAGAGGACGACAAGCCACACUGGAACUGAGACCCGGUCCAGACUCCUACGGGAGGCAGCAGUGGGGAAUUUUGGACAAUGGGCGAAAGCCUGAUCCAGCCAUUCCGCGUGCAGGAUGAAGGCCCUCGGGUUGUAAACUGCUUUUGUACGGAACGAAAAGGUUUCUACUAAUACUAGGAGCUCAUGACGGUACUGUAAGAAUAAGCACCGGCUAACUACGUGCCAGCCGCCGCCGUAA